rnacentral:rRNA from 1 species
CGUGACGAAAAAUAACGAUACGGGACUCAUCCGAGGCCCCGUAAUCGGAAUGAGUACACUCUAAACCCUUUAACGAGGAUCAAUUGGAGGGCAAGUCUGGUGCCAGCAGCCGCGGUAAUUCCAGCUCCAAUAGCGUAUAUUAAAGUUGUUGCGGUUAAAAAGCUCGUAGUCGAAUCUGUGUCCCGCGCCGCCGGUUCAUCGUUCGCGGUGUUAACUGGCGUGCCGCGGGACGUCCUGCCGGUGGGCUUAGCUCGCGAGGGCGGCCCAACUCAAUCCCGCCGCGGUGCUCUUCAUUGAGUGUCGAGGUGGGCCGGCACGUUUACUUUGAACAAAUUAGAGUGCUUAAAGCAGGCUAAAACUUCGCCUGAAUACUGUGUGCAUGGAAUAAUGGAAUAGGACCUCGGUUCUAUUUUGUUGGUUUUCGGAACCCCGAGGUAAUGAUUAAUAGGAACGGAUGGGGGCAUUCGUAUUGCGACGUUAGAGGUGAAAUUCUUGGAUCGUCGCAAGACGGACAGAAGCGAAAGCAUUUGCCAAAAACGCUUUCAUUGAUCAAGAACGAAAGUUAGAGGUUCGAAGGCGAUCAGAUACCGCCCUAGUUCUAACCAUAAACGAUGCCAGCUAGCGAUCCGCCGACGUUCCUCCGAUGACUCGGCGGGCAGCUUCCGGGAACCAAAGCUUUUGGGUUCCGGGGGAAGUAUGGUUGCAAAGCUGAAACUUAAAGGAAUUGACGGAAGGGCACCACCAGGAGUGGAGCCUGCGGCUUAAUUU